GAGUUCCACCUGGAGGGAUGUAUCCAGGCAUGCCACCAUAUUAUUGAGGUAAUUGUUGUUGUUUACUUUCUAAUGAUGUUGAUAACAUGUAGUUUUUGGCAAAUUGAGUAUAUUUCUGUUGGCUAUUUUAUGCAGAUUUGCUUUUUGAUAGAAAUUGAAACAUGUUGAAUUUGUUGUUUUUGCCUAUGGGCUAUUGUGGGUGAAUUGCCCCAUUUAUUUAGUGUUUGAGGUAGCACUUGUCAUACAAUUUUGCUUUGAUGGAUUUGAUUGUGCUGUUGGUGUGUUUGUGGGUGAGUUGUGAAAGCCCUGUUCGGAAGGAUUUGAUUGAAUCUAAGAAAUGUUGAUCUUUCUCGUUUCUUAUUCUUCAAGUUGCUCCUUGGAUUUUCAAGGGGCUUUUUUUAGUUUUCUUUCAUCCAUGGUUGCAUUUGCAAGCUGUCUGCUGAUGCUUCUCAAGAGACCCGUUGAUGUGAUUUUGUUGAGAUACAUCUUAUUCUUUCUUAAUUUUGUUUGUGAUAUUAAGUUGGAACACUUGGAUUGUAUUCUUCUAGAUUUGCUACUUAAUCCUACUGAUCCACGUGGUUUAUUAAUAAUUGAUGCAGCUGCUCUUUCUAGUUUUGUAGUCCAGUUUUGAAAGUUUCCUAGUGGAUUACAGUGUUAAUUUAAGUUAAUAAAUUUUCCUGUAUUUGGUGUUUGUGGAGCAAUGUCUGCAGCAGUACCUUGAACACAGUUGUUCUAAUUUUCCUUUUGGUGUGCUUGCUUUGUUAGAUUUUCCACUGUCACAAGUGUGGUUGUACUUGUUCCCUGAAACUUGUUAGUUGAAUUGAAUUACCAUUUGCUUUGCAAUAGUGUUGUUUGGAAAACAAUUAUCAUGACAUGUGCAAAAGCUUCAAACUUGUUGACUUUUGAUUGUCACAUAUAUUAUAGAUUUUUUUUUUUGGGUUUCGACUGCUAUAUUGAGUUGCUAUUUUGUGCUAUAUUUAGCAAUGUUUCUGUUUUAUACGAUUGACUUCCAAUACUGGUUUGUGAUCUGACGGGUGUUUGGUUCAGGUGUAUGAGAGCUUCCUGGGCA
rnacentral:misc_RNA from 1 species